CGCGGAGUAGAGCAGUUGGUAGCUCGUCGGGCUCAUAACCCGGAGGCCACAGGUUCGAGUCCUGUCUCCGCCA
rnacentral:tRNA from 1 species